CAGGCAUUGAAAAAUAAAAGAAAUAAGAGACCCACGGCCUGUACUUAAGGUCUAGGAUCUGCUAGGUUGGUGGAUCUGCGAGCUUGCGGUUCCUGUUGUUGAUCAACCGCUGCUUCGGUUCGGUGGAGGUUUAAUCAACCAAGUGAGUGCAGUUGCAAACCAGCUGUGCGGCUUAUAGGAGCACUUGCGCCAUCUUUGUAAUGGCAAACACCAUUCCCUUGAUUGUUGAUUAGUCAUCUUCUCCUCAUGAUAUGAUACUGGAAGGAUGUCAUGAUGGAACGGUUGCUUUAUGGAGGUCUCCACAAACUUGCCGUCAGAAGACAUUUUAAUGGUUUGUUAUCUCCCUUUCCAUAGU